UACAGAGGUCCCAAGCGUUGUUCGGAUUCACUGGGCGUAAAGGGUGCGUAGGCGGUCGGGUAAGUCUGAUGUGAAAUCUCACAGCUUAACUGUGAAACUGCAUUGGAUACUAUUCGGCUUGAGAGUUGGAGGGGGGACUGGAAUUCUUGGUGUAGCAGUGAAAUGCGUAGAUAUCAAGAGGAACACCAGUGGCGAAGGCGGCUUUUUGGUCUGUAACUGACGCUGAGGCGCGAAAGCGUGGGGAGCAAACAGG
rnacentral:rRNA from 1 species